rnacentral:misc_RNA from 1 species
UUUCAAUUUCAAUUCGAUUCAAUGUACAAGCAAAUGGCCCUAAAUUACAAUAAUGAAUCUAAAGAAAUGGUAGAUGAGAAGCACAUUGAAUCAUAUGGAUUCUGACAUAAAAAAGAUUAAACACAUAACAUUGUAUGAUGCUUUUCUUUCCAGGGAAGGUGUUAUUAAUAAGAUCUAAAAUCAAGGACAUUAUCAAACAAAUUAGCCAAAACACAAUCGCAUGGUCCAUUCUCAGGUCUCACAGAACAAGAAGAGGGAGGGGGAAAAAGUAAAGUACUCUAAAGAAAAAAGAAAAAAGGAGACAGAAUUCUGCAAAUCAAUACAAGAGAAAUGUUCAUGAUUAUGCUAUAAAAUUGGAUAGAAAUAAAGGGGCAAUAUAUAUAUAUAUAGAGAGAG